GAGAUAUGUUUUCUUCAGAAAGCUGCUAACUUAUCUGAAAAGCGGUUAAAUUCCGUUUAUAUCC
rnacentral:tRNA from 1 species